GCUGGUUGUUGUCGCUGGU
rnacentral:siRNA from 1 species